CAGACCUCUAAUCGGAAAAGACUACCCG
rnacentral:rRNA from 12 species